rnacentral:lncRNA from 1 species
CGUUGGCUGCGUGGGGCGCCGGCAGGGUCACCCGAACAGGGCUCCUGCGCUUGCGCUCCUGUGGGAGGUGCGAGCGGGUGGGCGUGUGCGAGGCGUGGUCGGAGGGGGGAGGGCCCGGCUAGCCGUCGCUCCUCCCCCUCUUGCCCCUCCUGGGCCGUGUGGGCCGGGCAGCCAUUUUGGGAAGAGCUUUGUUAUGGUUGUGGGCUCUCCACCUUUGCGGGAUCAGGAAGCUGGGGACGCGCCCUCAGACGCCGCGUAUGCUCCCUAUCUGUAGCCCCGCUACUGCCGGCAGCUGAAUCUUUUGAUAUUUUGGUCUUCUUGCAAUUGGUGUCUUGAAGAGUCCUUGCUAGGUGAAAAGAAAGGUGAGGCUAAAGAAGUUUGCUUACUCCAAAAGUUUAUGUAAGAGUGGGUGCGGGUGUAUGUGUGUGUGUGGUUGCUUAUAGUUUUGAAAUUGUGCUAUGAUGGUAAUUUUAUCAGCCAACUUUGUGCUCUGAGGUUGGUUUGUCAUAUUUGUUGAAAUACUUAUUCUUAACUUUGAUAUUUAUUGCUUACCAGGAAAAAAAAAAACCAGCUAACGGUGUGGGUCAUGUUUUAGUAACAGAACUCACACAUUCCUGAG